rnacentral:rRNA from 1 species
GGGCUUGACAUCCCACGAACCUGCCCGAAAAGGUGGGGUGCCCGCAAGGGAGCGUGGAGACAGGUGGUGCAUGGCUGUCGUCAGCUCGUGUCGUGAGAUGUUGGGUUAAGUCCCGCAACGAGCGCAACCCUCACCCCUAGUUGCCACCGGGUUAAGCCGAGCACUCAAGGGGAACUGCCAGCGUCAAGCUGGAGGAAGGCGGGGAUGACGUCAAGUCAUCAUGCCCCUUACGCCCUGGGCUACACACGUGCUACAAUGGCCAGCACAAAGGGACGCGAGACUGCGAAGUGGAGCUAAUCCCAAAAAGCUGGUCUAAGUUCAGAUUGCAGUCUGCAACUCGACUGCAUGAAGGAGGAAUCGCUAGUAAUCGCGCAUCAGCCCGGCGCGGUGAAUACGUUCCCGGGCCUUGUGCACACCGCCCGUCACACCACGAAAGCUGUCUGUACUCGAAGUCGCUGAG